CAGCAGCCGCGGGAAUACAGAGGGUGCGAGCGUUAAUCGGAUUUACUGGGCGUAAAGCGUGCGUAGGCGGCUUCUUAAGUCGGACGUGAAAUCCCUGAGCUUAACUUAGGAAUUGCAUUCGAUACUGGGAAGCUAGAGUAUGGGAGAGGAUGGUAGAAUUCCAGGUGUAGCGGUGAAAUGCGUAGAGAUCUGGAGGAAUACCGAUGGCGAAGGCAGCCAUCUGGCCUAAUACUGACGCUGAGGUACGAAAGCAUGGGGAGCAAACAGGAUUAGAUACCCGAGUAGUCCCUGUCUCUUAUAC
rnacentral:rRNA from 1 species